GACGUAGGGCGCGAGCGUUUGUCCGGAUUUAUUGGGGCGUAAAGCGCACGUAGGCGGUCUGUUAUGUCGGAUGUGAAAGCCCUCGGCUUAACUGAGGAAGUGCAUCCGAAACUGGCAGGCUAGAGUACUAAAGAGGGUCGCGGAAUUCCCGGUGUAGAGGUGAAAUUCGUAGAUAUCGGGAGGAACACCGGUGGCGAAGGCGGCGACCUGGGUAGAUACUGACGCUGAGGUGCGAAAGCGUGGGGGAGCAAACAGG
rnacentral:rRNA from 1 species